AAACUAACUCAUGUAUACACUGCAAUUCUGAAGCCCGAUAAUGAAUUGCAAAUUUUGAUUGAUGGUGAGGAGAAGAAAAAGGCAAAUUUCUUGUCUUCUGAGGACUUUGAGCCUCCUCUUAUCCCUUCCAAGACAAUCCCUGAUCCUGAUGAUAAGAAACCUGAGGACUGGGACGAAAGAGCCAAAAUCCCGGACCCAAGUGCUGUGAAGCCAGAUGACUGGGAUGAGGAUGCACCCAUGGAAAUUUUAGAUGAAGAAGCAGAGAAACCUGAAGGAUGGUUGGAUGACGAGCCAGAGGAAAUUGAUGACCCAGAGGCGACAAAACCCGAAGACUGGGAUGAUGAGGAGGAUGGUGAAUGGGAAGCCCCAAAGAUUGAAAACCCGAAGUGUGAGGCAGCCCCUGGUUGUGGUGAAUGGAAGAGGCCAAUGAAGAGGAAUCCAGCUUAUAAGGGAAAGUGGAGUGCUCCUUACAUCGAUAACCCCAAUUACAAGGGCAUAUGGAAGCCUCGCGAGAUUCCAAACCCUGAAUACUUUGAACUCGAGAAACCUGAUUUUGAGCCCAUUGCUGCUCUUGGCAUUGAGAUUUGGACAAUGCAGGAUGGCAUCCUAUUUGACAAUAUUCUGAUAGCUAACGAUGAUAAAGUUGCAGAAUCCUAUCGGGAGACCACAUGGAAGCCCAAGUUUACCAUUGAGAAAGAAAAACAGAAGGCUGAAGAUGAGGCUGCAACUGGUUCAGAUGGUAUUGCAGG
rnacentral:lncRNA from 1 species